rnacentral:lncRNA from 1 species
UAAAGACCAUUCCCCCCAACCGGUCGACUUUGCUUUCUCUCUACUCCUCUUUUCUUCUUUACGAACCAAGUCGCCGUAUCUCUAAAUCCUCUCCAAACCCGGCCCAAAAUGAAAUCAAUCCAUGAUUCACUUACCUAUUUUGUGAUACUCCGCUAUUGUGUAAGCGUCUGUGGUGUUACUUAGUUCUUGCCCUAUUUUUGGCAAGAACUACCUUUCAAAAUCAAGCCUGAUUGACUUCGAUCUUCGAGGAUUCAGAAGGUAUUUCGUCUAUAUACACUUAAAAGGAGGCGAUUCUUGCACUCCUAGUUUGAUUUACAGUUAGUUAGACCCAACUAGGGUUUGAUAUAUCCAUCUCCUUUACCGAUUCUGAUUGCAUGAGAUCUUUUCUUUCCUUUUUAUGUUAAAAUUGAUUAUUUUCCAUGAUUGUCUAUUCAAAUCGAUUGCUAUAUAAACCUCCCUUUCCCCCUUCCUAUCUAAGUCUGAACGACUACUGCUACAACUACUACUACCACUAUUUUCCCACUCACAUUCAUUCUAUACUAUUAUGAGAUUUUGAUUUUUGGCCGGCUGAAAGCCAAGGCCACCAGAUUCUAUUCAUUAACCUCAUCCAGUGCAAGCACUGCUCGGAGUCUAUUUCGAGGCUCAUGUGAACUCUGAAGCACUCGGGUUUGAGAGUUUUAUUGUUCUCCAGUAAUCACAGCUAUUCUUGAGAUUUUGAGUUCUUCAUCCUUUGUUUAGUUUGUUCGCAACUGGUUAGUAUCUUAUACUCUCGUAAUUUCAUUACUCUAUGAUUGUGUGCAUUUCUUUGAGUGUUUACUGUGAUGCCACUUCAAACCUGCUCUAAUAAUGAUUUUUCGCAUAGUUAGCUAAGUUGAUUCACGAUGUUUACUUGGUUUACAAUUAAACCUGAUUGAUGUUUAUCGUACUCUGUUUGGAUCCCUGAGAAGUUGCGUCUGCCCAGAAUUGUUUUCUCCAUGUUGAGUCCCUUAUGCACCACCUGUUGUUCUGCUGCAAAUUAUGUGAUGACACUGUCUAAAUGCUUAGCCUAAUAUGCUCUUCCUUGACAUUACUAGCCUUAAUUCAUGCCCAUUGUAGAUGUCCAACUAGAUUAAUUGCUUAUCUUCAUGUUUAAUUCUAAUUGGUUCCUUAAAGACUGUCGCUUAUCAUAAAUCCAUGACUUAGAAUCUCCUAGGGAACUAAUGCAUGCUUAGAACUUAUUAGAAUGUGUCUUUGUUGAGUCUUUCAUAUAUACCUGCUAUUUCCCUUAAAUUAACUUGUGAAUAUAUGAAUUCUAUAUGCCAAUACUGUUGUAAUGUCAAGGCAGACUUGUUGAGACUCCUAGGGUGAAUUCCAAUCCACGUCUAGUUUACUUCUCUUUAUGUCGACUAAGACAAGUCCCUGCCCCUCUUCACAUGAUGUUUGCUUACUUUAUUUACCUGAAAGCCAGCCUUUUCUCAUCUGAAUGCUUACCUAUUGGAUUUAAAACCUUUGUGUGGUAAAUUUUAUUUGCCUGAAUAUUUCACAUUUUAAGCUCUGCAAGUUAGUUGUCCUCAUUAGGCUCUCAUAUUAAAGCUUCCAUGUUAAGACUGUAUCUCACUGGUUCUCAUGCUCAAACCCCUGCCUAAAGCUCUUUAAGCUAGUUCUGGACCAUGCUUUGUUUUGAAACUUUGUUUGAAAUAAUCAUGUUGCUCUUAAACUCUAUUUCUGGAAUGAUAACCAUAAACUUGCCUCAUAUGUGCUUUGUUUGCUUUCCAAUUUAGUAUGACCCUGUCUAUAUGUUUACUUGCUUUACAAUUAAACCUGAUUGAUGUUUAUAUGCCUUGGUUAGGGCUGCUGUUAGUCACAGUUUUAAGAACUAAGUGUUUUAGCUUCAAAGCUGUUUGAUUACUUUUAUGUGUAGUUUGUCACGUGUAUGGCUAAGUUUGGCAUCCACUUUGGUAAGUAAGUUAUUCGUUCUGACCUGGUAUGUUGGGCCUGCUGUCCGCAUAAAGUCCUAAGCCUGUUUGAAGGCCUAGAUGUAUUACUGGGUUAUUCUACAUUUGUAUUGGGCCUGUAAUUAUUUAAAAUAAUCUGUAAUAGCUUUUAAAACUGAAUGAUGGGGAAAUUAGUGAAAAAGGGGCUGGGGUAUUCUAAUGCUUGCAUAAAAGAGUAGAAAACAUGCCUAUAAGGUCUAUGUGUUUUAUUUGCUAUUUCAUUCAGCGUGCCUUAUUUGUUAUUUCAUUUAGCGUAUUUUAUUUCUGUACACUAAUAAAACCAUGCCUAUAGGAAUCACACACACUUCACUCGUGCUAUUCAAAGCAUGUUAGUACUCGCCAAACUUGUUUUCUAUGCCCAUUAUUGUGCACACUUAGACAACAUGCUUGUAGGAUACAAUAACAUUAUUUUGCUAACGCUCAUUUAGAUACCAUGUCUAUAGGGUUUCAACUAAUCAAUCGGUCACUUCUAUUGUCUUGGUGUGCUGUUAACCUGGAUAUCACGAAUACAUAGUCUUAAUUAAUUAAUCAACUACUUUAUUACUUCAUUGUGUUACCAUACAUAGAAAUCAUGCCUAUAAGGAUAACAUCUUAUAAAAUUAAUUGCAUCUAUAAACUGUUAGAAAUCCUGCCUAUAGGGUAUUGUCACUCGCAUAAGAAGCUGUUAAUUUUGGGUUCUCGAAGUUGUUUUACUGCCCAUCGCGCAAUAUUUAGAUAUUAUGCCUAUAGGGUUGUAAUGCCUUAAUUUGCAAAUCUGUUAGCCUAAUGCUGCAUUGCUGCCUGUACAAUGCUAAAAUUAGAAUCGCCUAGAAACCUUCCUAUAGGACUUAAUGGCUAUAAUGUUACUUAACUCUGAAAUUGUCCACUGCUUAAACCUGUCGCGUGCAUUUAUGAUUUAUGCGUGGGGGUUAACUUGUGCCCUUUCUUGCAUUUUAUGUGAAGUCUUAUAUGUUUUGAAUGCACGCUAGUUAUCAUUUUUGAGCAUCCUAAGUAAAUUCUAAAACCACCCAAAUAGCAUGUCCAAAGCCUCUUGGACCAUAGGCAUGGGACGAGUAGUGCAGGCAUAUGACACUAUUUAGAAUUAAAUUAGAACACUUCAGGUAAAUAACUUUAACAUAGUAAUUGGGUAGCAGGAGAUGAUAGUCUGUGCCCGUUGAAUAAUAUCAGCAACCCCUACCCUAAGGGAUUUGUAAAGUAUGUUGUACGGGGUGAUCCUUUAGGCUAAAAAACAUAGGACCCCCUCUUCUUUAUAUGCUUAUUUGUUCACACUUACUCGUUGAAUUUAGAACAAUUGAGUUGUACCGUGUAACCUCUAAAGACUUGUACUGAUUAUUUAUAUAACUUAAUUGUUGUCCGAUUUUUUUUACACUUGUUCAUAAUAGAACCUUUAAAUUCUUUGUCUUCCCUCGUUUAUAUGAUCACAUAGGAUAGUUAUAAUCUAAUAAUCCACAUAGUAUGAACUUCAGUCGGGACCCACAAUUAUGGACCUCGAAGAGUGCCUAAUACCUUCUCUUUAAGGUAAUUUGAGCUCUUACCCGAUCGUUGGUGACGUGGACUAGUUCUAACAGAGUUAUUUGCAAAUAGGUGCCGUAACGCACCUCAAAAUCGUUUGGUGGCGACUCUUCUCUUUUAAUACCCAUUUAAAAGAGUUGUCACAUGUCGAAACUCGCUUUCGAGAGAAAAAGAGGCGCGGCACAUUGUUAACCAACUCAUUAUCCCCAGACAUAGAUGAGAGUGUACAGUAUUCAGAGGCAGUUAAAAGUAUAUGAAAAUAAUUGAACAAUAGAUAUGGGGUUGUUAAUGGAACCAAAGUUUUUGAAAUAAAGACAGAGCUUGCUUCUACCUAUCAGGGUUCUCUUGACAUAGCUUCGUAUUUCAAUAAACUUAAGUAACUAUGGGAUGAGUUGGGGGCUAUGUGUAGCAGUCAUACAAAUUCCUGUACUUGUCUUGCUAAAGAGGGUCUUCAAAAGGAAAAAGAAGAAGAUAAAUUACAUCAAUUCCUUAUGGGUCUAAAUGAAGUAUAUGUAGGGGUUAAAAGCAAUAUUUUGAUGAUGCAGCCACUAUCAUCCCUUGGUAAAGUAUAUAAUAUCCUAUUACAAGAUGAAAAAUAGAGAAGAGUUGUCUCUAUCACUUAGUUCAACUCAGAGUCAGCUUCUUUUAUUGCAAAUUCCAACAAACUUCUUCCCCAAUUUCCAUCUCAAAAAUAAUAUGCAUAGAAGUUAAAUUUUGAUUAAAAUAUCCAGAAAAUCAAUUUUGAUCAGAUAAGGCUUCUUUGUCUUGCAAAUACUGCAAGAAGCCUGGUCAUACUAUUGAGAAAUAUUAUAAACUUCAUGCAUUCCUUCCAAAGUUGAAAUUCAUAAAGGGUAAUAGGUUUGGUACUGCUGUACGUGUUGAAGGCCAGCCUUCUACGACCUCUGAUUCUGCUGCAUCUUCAUCUAGCCAUGAGUCUUUAGUUCCUCGCCUCACCAAAGAGCAGUAUUCUCAAUUGCUUAAUUUGCUUCAGCAUUCUACACUUCGUAAAUCCAAUUAUCAGCUUGUCCUCACGGGUUCUACCAACUUUGCUGGUAGUACUUCUUCUUUGCAUGUGUAUCUAAAUGGUAGUUCUAUUGUGAGCAUGUUAACUAGAGUAGCUGGAAGGGUCUGGAUAGUGGAUUCUGGAGUAACUGAUCUAAUAAAAACCUACUUUUUAUCAUAAUACCUCUUUAUGUACCUUACUUAGUCUCCUUACCCAAUGGUUACAAGGUUAAGGUUAUCUGUACAUAUUCCCUUACUUUGCUACCAUCUUUUACUCUACACCAUGUGCUGUACAUUCCUACUUUUUAUUACAAUUGAUUUCAGUCAGUAAAUUGAGUAGACAAUUCAAUUAUUAUGUCCUAUUCACUUCUUUUUCAUAUAUACUUCUACAGGCCCAUUCUAUGAAGAAGCUUCUGGAACUUGGUAGAAUAGAUCAAGGAUUAUACAAAUUCCAUCUUCCUGUUUCUGCACUUUCUCUAAUUCUAUUGUUUCUGAAAACUUUGUUUCUGCUUUCAAUAAUGCGGUACAAGAUAUUGAACCUUUAUUGAAUGCAAAUAUACAUGUGAAUUCUAAUUAUUUUGCUCUCCAGCCAUCUCUUGUACUACUCAGCAUGUAAUGAAUAAGAAUGAUGUUCUUUGGCAUCAUAGAUUGGGGCAUGUCCCUUUUGUGCAGAAGAAGCAUAUUUCG